CCUACGGGUGGCUGCAGUAGGGAAUAUUGCUCAAUGGGGGAAACCCUGAAGCAGCAACGCCGCGUGGAGGAUGACGGUUUUCGGAUUGUAAACUCCUUUUGUUAGAGAAGAUAAUGACGGUAUCUAAAGAAUAAGCACCGGCUAACUCAGUGCCAGCAGCCGCGGUAAUAAGGAGGGUGCCAGCGUUAUUCGGAAUCACUGGGCGUAAAGAGCGCGUAGGCGGGUUAGCAAGUCAGAUGUGAAAUCCUAUGGCUUAACCUUAGAACUGCAUUUGAAACUGGUAUUCUAGAGUAUGGGAGAGGUAGGUGGAAUUCUUGGUGUAGGGGUGAAAUCCGUAGAGAUCAAGAGGAAUACUGAUUGCGAAGGCGACCUGCUAGAACAUAACUGACGCUGAUGCGCGAAAGCGUGGGGAGCAAACAGGAGUAGAUACCCGGGUAGUC
rnacentral:rRNA from 1 species